AUCUAUCUGACGAGUCACAAAUAAAAUUAAACGCACGUCCUGGAU
rfam:Schistosoma curassoni strain Dakar, Senegal genome assembly, scaffold: SCTD_scaffold0023112